rnacentral:lncRNA from 1 species
GAAAAUUCCUAUUAAAAGAACUCUGACAAUGUUCGAUCAGGUCUUUAUUUUAUACAAUUAAUUGGUUGAUGACAUUUCCGAAGAUCAUAUAAUAAGAACAAAACGACAUUUGAGAAAAUUGCCGGGUCGAAAAGAAGAGAGUGUUCUGUAUGUUCUGUACGAAAUGUCCCUGGUUGCAGGAAAGGGCGUAAACAUGUAUAUGCAUGUGUGCUCUCUGUCGUAAAAUUGUUCAUAAACCAUGUAGUAAAUAUAAGAAACACGACAGACGAUGUAACACCGACGAAUAAAAUAUCUUUCUUGAGAAAU